UCAGGCCGUUUGUUUGAAAGGGCAAUCCCGUUUUUUCCCAAAGGCUUUUUCCAACUUUUGUCUUGCCAGAGCCCACAACCCGAUUGGGAUUUAUAUUUUUCUUAAAUCCCGUUUGCCUGGCGGCGCCCGCCCCUGCCAUCGCCGGCAGCCAUCAGCCACCGCGCCUCGCUCCUCUCUUCCCCCGUUGAAGGAUUGUAGGCCCUGCCCUCGCUGUAUCCCCCGUGAUUCUUUCCCCGUGUCGCCGCCGUCCCCGUCCAUCGCGUUCGAUCGAGCGGUCGUAGGUCCUGCAGUCGUCGUGCAUGUAGUCUACAGUGCCUUCGGUCGCCGCGGUGCCGCGUUCCCUGUAGACUACAGUGCCUUCGGUCGCGCAUAACCCCUCUUUGUCCUUACGCCCGAAAAUAGAGACCACAGUGCCGUAAUAGCUCGUACAUACAGGAAGGUGCAUGUUUGGGAAUUUUUGUCAGAAAAGACCACAUACGUUUUCAGAUUGACAAAAAAGACCACUUGCUCAUCGUAUUGACAGAAGAGACCAGCUAUGCCGUGGCGGCAGGCCCGGCAGCCGACGCGUGGCACCUGCCGCCACAGACCACGGCGGCAGGGCUUGCCGCCACAGCGAUAUCCUGCACUGGAGUGAUUUAAUUUUACAGAUGAAAAGUGCUCCAGCUACAAAAACCACAGAGGUUGGCGUUUCAUUAUCUGCAAUCCCAAAUAAGUUUAGUCAUUUGAACAAAUUCUUCAGCAAGGAUACUCCUUCCGCUGCAGCAACCAUUGGAGCCAUGGUUUGAGGUCCUUUAAGGUGCCACACCACGAGGGCAUGGUGAUCCCCGACCAGCUCCGCUGUUGAUGAUAAUAACAUUCUUCUUGUACAUGGUCUAGUUACAUUAUUUUUUCUUUGAUGUUGGUGUUGAGCUUGUCGGACCACAAUUAAUGUGAAGUGUAGUGAAAAAGAAAACCAGAAGCGUAGCAAAAAGGGAAGUCGGAGAUAUCAUGCAGUUGUAUGUUGUGAACAUCUGGAAAUAGCAGUGCCAAGAAUUCUUCAAUGUUCCUCACUACUCUGAUUCA